rnacentral:lncRNA from 1 species
GCGAGAGCGAUUGAGGGCUGAAUUGUCUCGUCCAGUUUAGAAUACCCAAUGACCUAGCAAUCUCGGGAUCGUGCAAUCUCACAGCUAAUAAUCCAGCUAUCUGACAUCCUUCUAUAUAAACAACCAAAGCCCCAAGGACCCAGGUAAGUUCAAUCGAAUCCCUCUCAGAGAACCCAUUGCUGCUCCUUUGUUCUUUGCUUUUCUGACUUGAGCGUAGGAGGGUCCUCAUCGAAGCCACAAUCUUCAGUUUGGAGACCUAUUUUGCAAGUCGCUCUAGUACCAGUGUCC